rnacentral:rRNA from 1 species
UUUUGGGAGCUCACUGACUUCGGAGUAAUGGGAACUCCGAAGUUAAGUGAGUUAGGGCUAGAGGAAUCCCACGAUGGGUGAUCUACUGGGAAGUUGCUCAUGAGUUCCCAAAAA